CCCCGGUAAACGGCGGCCGUAACUAUAACGGUCCUAAGGUAGCGAAAUUCCUUGUCGGGUAAGUUCCGACCUGCACGAAUGGCGUAAUGAUGGCCACGCUGUCUCCACCCGAGACUCAGUGAAAUUGAAAUCGCUGUGAAGAUGCAGUGUACCCGCGGCUAGACGGAAAGACCCCGUGAACCUUUACUACAGCUUGGCACUGAACAUUGAACCUACAUGUGUAGGAUAGGUGGGAGGCUUUGAAGACGUGACGCCAGUUGCGUUGGAGCCGUCCUUGAAAUACCACCCUUGUAUGUUUGAUGUUCUAACGUUGGCCCCUAAUCGGGGUUGCGGACAGUGCCUGGUGGGUAGUUUGACUGGGGCGGUCUCCUCCCAAAGAGUAACGGAGGAGCACGAAGGUGGGCUAAUCACGGUUGGACAUCGUGAGGUUAGUGCAAUGGCAUAAGCCCGCUUAACUGCGAGAAUGACGGUUCGAGCAGGUGCGAAAGCAGGUCAUAGUGAUCCGGUGGUUCUGAAUGGAAGGGCCAUCGCUCAACGGAUAAAAGGUACUCCGGGGAUAACAGGCUGAUACCGCCCAAGAGUUCAUAUCGACGGCGGUGUUUGGCACCUCGAUGUCGGCUCAUCACAUCCUGGGGCUGAAGUCGGUCCCAAGGGUAUGGCUGUUCGCCAUUUAAAGUGGUACGCGAGCUGGGUUUAGAACGUCGUGAGACAGUUCGGUCCCUAUCUGCCGUGGGCGUUGGAAGAUUGAAGGGGGCUGCUCCUAGUACGAGAGGACCGGAGUGGACGAACCUCUGGUGUUCGGGUUGUGUCGCCAGACGCAUUGCCCGGUAGCUAAGUUCGGAAUCGAUAACCGCUGAAAGCAUCUAAGCGGGAAGCGAGCCCUGA
rnacentral:rRNA from 1 species